UUAUUCUUUAAAUUGGGAGCUCAAUGAGACUGAACAUGUUUCUAUGGGAGCCAUAAUUUUUAAUAUUUUAAUGUUCAUAGUUCAAGCACAACUAUUAUUCUGGAUAGAUUUUCCUGUGCCAUCAUGCAUUGUGGCAAGAGAGCCCUUAAGAGCUUGACACUAGUUUAUUCAGAAUCAGAUAGCCUGAUGAAUUGCUGCGAUUUCCGUGGCAUCUGGGAUCCGACGUAAAAAUAGAUCUACUUGAACAAAUGAUAUAUUUUGUUGUAUCUUGUUUAUGAGCUGAUACCAGUCAUCUGAAAGUGAUACCCCUUAUGCUCCACAGGACUCGGAGAACUGCCGAAUAAACUAUACAGGUAGUCAUUGAGCUGCAGUUAAUCUUUUGACCAGAAGAUGGUGUCAUGUUCACAGAUUCAUUCAAUUUGGAGAGCCAGAACUCUUGGUUUUAAAUGUCGAUUGCACGUUAGAUUAGAGAUAAUUUAAUGUUCAAGAGUUAAAGGAAAAACUUCCGAAAAGAUUCAUUUUUGAAAGCUUUGUGCUGCUAUAAGAAGUGCAUAACUCACUAUCGUCGGGGGAAUGGACCGGUUUGUUUUUUGUUUAAGUUGCACAAGAAAGAACACUUUAUUUUCUGUGAAUUCCUCUCUUUACUUAAUCAGUCUCAUUUUAAUCUAGGGAUUAAAAGCAAUGCAUUGGCAGCAGACGUAAGCAAACCUGAAGUUGUGCAAAGGAUAGCUGAGGCCGUGGUAGCUCGGUGGGGCACAGUUCAUAUCGUGUGUAACAGUGCUGGGCUCAAUGUGAAUUUUGCAAGUGAAGGGACUCCACUAGAAGAACGAGACAAAACUCUUAAUGUUACCUUAUCAGGCUUGGUUUUAUGCUGCAAAGCUGCAGGCCGCAUUAUGCUGAAUCAAGGAUAUGGGAAGAUAAUUAACACAGCAUCUAUGGCAAGUUUAAUAGGUCACAGUGACAGCCAGGGAGCUGAAACCACGAAGCAGCAGCAGCUCUUGGAGGAUGCAAAUUGUGCUAGGCGUGCUGACUUCAUUUGAGCAGGGUGGAGUUGUGACAGUCGACACCAACUCAGGAUCCGUCUUGAAGGCACUUUCUUGGGAACAAUGCAAGUCUGAGAGCUGAGGAAAGGGGUAGAACCAACAGAACACGCUGCGCUAACAAGUUUGAACAUUGUAAUUAGCAAGCCGAUCAUUUUCCUGUGUGACUGACAUGUGACAUCUUUGGAACAAUUUCAAAAGCUUCAGAUUUUAGUGCUAGGAGUUUUGAAUUUUUUGGGACACCCAUCUCCACACACACCUGAUCAGAUAAUAUGGUGUAUUCACAUCAGAAUAUAUUUGGAAGCUAUAUAUUAAGUAGGGUAAUUGGUUCCAGACAGUUACUUGAGUGUAUGUAACGUACAUGUGUGGGGCUGUUUGUGCCUAUUUUGUCUAUAUUUAUUGGAUGCAGCAAAAUGUUUGGAGUUUGUAUUUUUAAUCUCUCUUUUUUGCUGCUUCAAAAUCUGCAUCUGUUUUAUUUCUCUUGUUUCUUCAGUUUUUUUCACUGUCCAGCUGUUGAUGCAAAAAUACUAGAAUGGGGAGAAGAGAAAACCCAAAACAGAUUUAGAGGUUUACUAUAUGUUAACUGUUUUCUUUAUGAUAUCUACCAAGCACCAGGGGAAAAGGACAAAUCUUUCAUCUCAGUGUUGACAACUCUCCUUGCUGUGGUCAUGGUCCCCUGUACACAGUAAUACAUGGAGAAAAUAUCUUUUAUGUGCCUGAAUUUCUUCUAGUUCCUCACCCACAGAAGCAGUUGGCAUAUAAUGCAUCAAGAGCUGGAGUUUUAAAAUUAACACAGACAUUAGGAACUGAAAGGAUUGACAAGGGGUAAGAGUCAACUGCAUUUCCCUGUAAGUAAAAUGUAGUCUCAAUUUAUAAAGUACAGAGGGGAAUGAGAUGUUGUAAGAAGUGUUCGCUGCUCAAAUUAAAGGAAAAUAUCUAGGAAAACAAAGUUCCUAAUUAGCAGGUGGAUUGCAUCCCUUUUUAUUUUGUCUUCUGCUUAACAAAGGUUUAAUCACUUAGAACCCGAGUCUGUUCCUUUGCUGUAUAUACUCGGGGAUUUGAGAAGAGGUUUUAGCAUUUGAUAAUAGGUUUUCCAAGAACAUGAAGGGU